rnacentral:tRNA from 1 species
AGUAAGGUCAGCUAAAAUAAGCUUUUGGGCCCAUGCCCCAAGCAUGCCGGUUAAAAUCCAGCCUUUACUA